AUGAAUGGUGCUGUAAGAACCGCCGUUAAGGUUUCCGGCGACCACAAAACAUCACCGUCGAGCUUAGAUCUCAACGGCGGCAGCCGAGUAGCACAACCUCCAUACAAUUCAUCCUAUGUCUUAGCCACUAGAUCAUCCAGACAAGUUCUCUCUUACUGGACAUGCUCCAAGCUUUGUGCAGUGUUCUUUGUUGGUGGAGUUGUUUUUGGUUACACUCUCAGAGGACGUGUUAAGCGUUGGGCUUCUAAGAUUCUCAAGAAACUUAGCUGA